GAUGAACGCUGGCGGCGUGCCUAAUACGUGCGAGUCGAGCGAACAGACGAGGAGAUUGCUCCUCUGACGUUAGCGGCGGACGGGUGAGUAACAAGUGGAUAACCUACCUAUAAGACUGGGAUAACAUCGGGAAACAGGAGAUAAUAACGGAUAAUAUAAUGAACCGCAUGGUUCAAUAGUGAAAGACGGUUUUGCUGUCACUUAUAGAUGGAUCCGCGCCGCAUUAGCUAGUUGGUAAGGUAACGGCUUACCAAGGCAACGAUGCGUAGCCGACCUGAGAGGGUGAUCGGCCACACUGGAACUGAGACACGGUCCAGACUCCUACGGGAGGCAGCAGUAGGGAAUCUUCCGCAGUGGGCGAAAGCCUGACGGAGCAACGCCGCGUGAGUGAUGAAGGUCUUCGGAUCGUAAAACUCUUUUAUUAGGGAAGAACAAAUGUGUAAGUAACUAUGCACGUCUUGACGGUACCUAAUCAGAAAGCCACGGCUAACUACGUG
rnacentral:rRNA from 1 species